UCAUCCAUCCAAAUGGUUGAUCACCAACAAAUAUACAAGAGAAGACUCCAGAUCCAAUCCCAGAAUUCCUGCUCACCUGUAAUCGGAAGUCUACUGGACUAAAGCGGCAGCGUUGCGAUAUUUCCUGCUUAAUAUUUUCAGAUAUGGGAAAAGCACUUAAGAUGACCACACGUUUCAGGAACGUUAAAAUUAAGUUGGUGAGGAGGUCUAUGGUGGGCCCUGCAAGUUUUCUUACCUCAGUCAAGGUCUUCCCCAGCCCAGCUACAAUCAGACCCACCCUUCAGACCCUUCUAUUACAUCUCAACCUGCUGAACCUGAUGAUGCGACACCAAGCUGUUCUGAGAGCGCAUACAGUAAGGCAAAGAAGAGAGAGCUUCAUGCCUGGGAUGCAGUCAAGGAUGAGAUGCUUAAGGUGUCGUUUGAAUGUUCAGCACCGAUCACUACCCAGUGUGUUGUCUGCUGAGAACAUGCUGAUUAUAGGUGCAUUGAGUGCAGCUCCACUACAGUGUUCUGUGAGGUUUGCCUGAAGAGGAUUCACAGAAAUUUACUGCAUCUUCCUGAAAAGUGGAAUAAUGUUUACUAUGAGCCAUCCUCCCUGGGAUUAUUCCUAUAUUUACCUGAAGCCCAUGGCACCCAUGCUGUGUACACAAAGGACAUGAAGAUCAUUGUCAGCACAGGACGGCUCUGCACCGUUACAGUCACCAUGUGUGCGUGUGAACCAGAAACCUGUACUCUGUUGAGGCGGAUGGAGAUAUGAUUGUCACAUUGGAUGCCAACUUUGGCCUUGUGAGGAAUCAAAGCUCUGGGACAAGUGCGGUUGAUCCAUUACACGGAACCCGCGUGUUUGUUGAUGAAAAGGAUGUAGAGGAAUACCUGCUAUCACAUCUUGACAGCUCAAAGCCUCGAGGUUAAUCAUUGUUGCAGAAUUUCAUUCGAGUCCAUGAAAUAUUAAUUAAACUUGUGAAAAAA